rnacentral:rRNA from 1 species
UACGAAGGGGGCUAGCGUUGCUCGGAAUGACUGGGCGUAAAGGGCGCGUAGGCGGAUGGCUUUGUCGGGCGUGAAAUUCCAGGGCUUAACCUUGGGGCUGCGUUCGAGACGGGUUGUCUUGAGUGGGGAAGAGGGUCGUGGAAUUCCCAGUGUAGAGGUGAAAUUCGUAGAUAUUGGGAAGAACACCGGUGGCGAAGGCGGCGAGCUGGUCCAUUACUGACGCUGAGGCGCGACAGCGUGGGGAGCAAACAGG